AGAAAAUGUGCAGAAAGAGUUUGGCGUUUAUUUGCUAGUUGGAACUGACAGAGUAUGGAGGUGCUCGAUAAGACCAGUCAUUUUAGAAGAUUUAUUAUUGCUUGCCUGGAUUUGAAUUAUGAAGUGGAAUGUGAAAAUACGUCAACCCAAUCGUGUUACAAGAGGUUUGUGAACGAGGAUCAAGUAGCUCUUAUCACGAGUGACCCCCCGAAGUAUCACUUCACUGAUUUCUGCUACCGAAGAAAGUGGAAUGUGAAGAGACUUCAAGCCAGUCGUGUUACAAGAGAGGUCUGUGAACGUUGAUCAACAAGUGACCCCCGAAGGAUUACUUGACUGAUUUCUGUUACUUAAGAAGAAGUAAAGCGUUUGGAGUGUGGGGCCAGAUUCAUUCAACAAAAGCAGCAAGAGUGGGUACUAGCUUUAGUGCUGCUGUUUCUACCCUGGUGAAAAGACUCGCUCGUCUUCUUUCACAGCUACGUUGAAGUCUCCCGUAUCUCUCGCCCACGUUUCGUACUAGCCUGCCUUUCGUUUAGCUUUUCCUUUAGUCUCGUUUCCGGCUGUUGCACACAUGCAAAUUCUCCUUGACUAAAUGUCCACAUUUAGGUUUUGAGGUGAGAGGGAAGCUGGUAAAUGAGUGCAGGUUGUUAAGGAAAUUAUUAGGAAUGUGACAGUACAUGUUUGGGAAACAGGCAAGUUUGAAAUGUGAUUUAAAAUAACAUUGAUAUCUUAGAAUUAUUUUGUUAAAAAAAAUUUAAUAUUGUACAAAAACUAAAUAUUAACGUCUGAGCAUUAUAUAUAUACAAAUAUUAACGUCUGAGCAUUAUAUAUAUAUUCUAAUUUGUUGUUUAUUGUUGUAGUAAAUUUUAUCACAUUUGAAAUUGUAAUAAAUACAAUUACAUUAGUAGAAAACUGUAAAAGCAAGCUAAAUAAUCAAAUUUUAUUAUUUUUAAUUUACAAAAAUAUACUGUCAUGUACA